UACGAAGGGUGCGAGCGUUAUUCGGAAUUAUUGGGCGUAAAGGGUGUGUAGACGGUAUAUUAAGUCUGUUGUUAAAAUCUUCUGGCCUAACCAGAAAUCUGCAGUAGAUACUGAUGUGCUAGAGGGUGGAAGAGAGAAGUGGAAUUCUCGGAGUAGCGGUAAAAUGCGUAGAUCUCGAGAGGAACACCAAUGGCGAAGGCAGCUUCUUGGUCCAUACCUGACGUUGAGGCACGAAAGCGUGGGGAGCAAACAGGAUUAGAAACCC
rnacentral:rRNA from 1 species